rnacentral:lncRNA from 1 species
CGACAAGGCGAUUAAAGCGCGCUGCCAGGCGGCAGGUAGCGCGAGACAAAUUAAACCCCCCCUCACCUCGAUGGACGCUUCUACUACGUGAUGGCCUCAUUCUCUGUUCUGGAGGUUCCUGUUGUCUCAUCACUGUCAGUGUAUGUGUGCUGUGAGUGAUUUCCCUCCCUCCUGGUUUGCACUCAGGUAUCAACAUCUCCCGAUGGCUUCAAGGCCAGCUUUCCCAAACAAAACACUUCCGAGCAG